rnacentral:lncRNA from 1 species
AGCUUUUGGAAUGUUAAUUAAAUGAUCAAAAUAUUAUAAGAUUACAUUGUUAUGAGUACUUAACUUACCCUUAAAAGUAGCAUAUUUACUAUAAACUGAAACAACUUCUUCUUCUUCUCUGUCUCCUCCUGAUUAUUAUUUUUUUGUUGUUGUUAUUAAAUAAGGAACUCUCUCAGGAACCAAGCUGUAUAUCCUCUAGUCUCUUUGAAAAAACAAAUUGGUCAUUUUCUACUUGGACAUCCCAGAAUAGAAAGUACAUGGAAGUACUAAAAAAUAAAGGGAUAGACUUGGGGUUAAGGGAGAUGUCAUAGAACAGCUAUCCUGGGUUAGUUCAAGUGUAGUCCUAUCCCAUGCCAGGCAAAGUCAAGGUUAAGUUUAGUCCAAAAAUCCCAGUUACAUCAAGUUUCCAUUUUUUAUCAUUAUUUCCCUAUACAACGAUACAAGUUUUAAAAAAGUCGGUAAAUACUUUUGGCCAUCAAUUUUCAAGGUUUCGUUGGUGAUAUUAAGGAAAUACUGUAAGUAGGUAACACAUAAUGUCACAUCUGUGUGCUGUAGAAGCAUCUUGAAAAAUAUGGACUUUAAAAGCUCAAAAUAUGUGUUUGCAAUUGAACAUACAUUCACCCCCAAAUUUGUCCUUUUUCAGCUAGUUAUUUUUUCAUAUGAAGUUACUAUACUUCUACCAUUAUCUUUAAUCUCUGAAAUUUCAAUUAUACUAGAAAUCAGGAUUCUUCAUUUUUACUCACGAACCUGACACUAAGUGUAUACCUCAUUAAGGACAAGAAGCUAUGAAUUCUCUGGACUUCAGUUAUCUCACAGAAAAAAGCUUGAUUGAAUAAUGUCUAAGGCUCUUCCUGACAUAUUCUAAAUAACAGAAGGUGUCUCACAAGAAAUGGAAGCAGUGAGAGAAAAAUGCAAUUAAAUCCUAGACUAGAAAGAAUCACAAUUUUUCCACUCACAGGUUGGUAAUGCCUCUCUAUUCUAUCAUAAUUUUGAAAACCUCCGUAGUUUUACCAGCUUUGCCUUACCCCGUUGCUAUCAUCUGCUGAGGUACAGACAGUCCUUUCCAUUUUUGUUCCUCUCCCACUCUAAUAAUUUUUUUUUCUUUGACAGAAGUCCCACUUUACCAUUAAUGAUGACAAUAACUAAAGCUGCCAGGAACAGCACAUUUGCUGACCUUUAUCAACACCAGAUUCUCGCAUUUUGCCUUCUGGAUCUCCAUGCUCUUUUAUACCAGCAAACAAGAGGAAGAAUAUUCUCUACCCAUUUCCUUGACUGAAGCCUGCUCUUUUAUGAAGAUAUGGCAUCUCUUCCAACCGUGUCAAACAGAAGCAAUUUAUGUGUAUGCCGCUUCCAUACCCUGAUUCAAUGGGUCAGGGGCAGAAUCACUAUUUACUACAUUUUUCUGGCUGGAUCACCAUGUUUACUGUGAUGGACAACUGCCCUUCCUGAUCCAUGACCCAUGCAACAGAGCAUUACUGAAGAAAUUCACACCCUCAGGCAAUUAGAUGUCCCUGUAAAGUUAUAGUCAACAGGUUCUUAUGACCUCACCACAUAGACUGUUACUUAUAAGCUCCCUCUCUUAUUACACCUAUGGAUAUUUUGUAACUUUUCUUUGAUCAUUAAAAAGCUUCUCCUCAACUCUU